CCUGCUGCUGUCAUUCCCUCCCGAAUCACCCAGCGCAGCCUUCCCACGGGGGUGACCCCUCACAGGCCAGCCCCACAACACUGGACGGUGACUCCACCACCUCCCUGGGCAACCCGUCCCAAGGCCUGACUGCUCUUUCUGAGAAGAAAUGUCUCCUCAUUUCCAACCUGAACCUCCCCUGGCACAACCUGAGGCCGUUUUAUGAUUGAUACUUUCCUGGACACUCAGCUAUCCAGAAUGCUAGCAUCCCAGGUACAUGCUGUGGUCCUGCUCCUGACACGGCUCUUUUGCCAUAGGGGAAGCCCACGAGGAAGGCUGCCUUUCUGAAGACUGGAUCCAUUGAACUCAAGGGAAGUAAUCCCAGCUGACUUGGACGACUCUAAACCAGGUGACAGCAUGCUCACUGGGCUAGUCAAAGGCCAAGGUGGUCUCCAGCCCUUUGAAGUCACAUUUCAAGUCACUGAGCUCAUCUUCUAGCAUCUGUGUGCUACUACUCCUGACAGCUCUGUCAUAGCUGGGAUUUGGCUCGUUGCAGAUGUUAAAGGUGCACAGACCAAAACCAAAAUCUUGUAUCUUGUAAAGGUCAGUGGAGUCAAGCGGCAGCUCUGAUGACUUCUUACUGUUCACCAACCCUGGAGGGAUUAUGCUGGAUUCAAGCUCUGCAGGACGUGAGCAGCAGCAUCCCCUCGCAGCGACUGUCCCACAUCUCAGCUGGCACAGGCUAACAUUAUUGAGAAGUGGCUCUUCCCAUUGCCGAGGUUGUCUGCUGUGAUCCCACCUUGAUGCAUCGCGGAUUGGGAACGGGCACAAGAAGCGGUUUCUGCAGCAGGAGACAGACCAAGAGGUUAUUAUACCAAAUGCCCUAAUCAGGGCACAACAUGAGCUUUUUGGCUGCAGACUGAGGGUUCUUCUAGGUUUCAAUUCCUGAGCACAUUUUGAGUGUAUCACUUUAGAAAAAAAAGCCAUUUUGGGGAUGAGUUGCUCAGGCUACCGAGAUUCUGACAUAGCAGCUGCAUCAAUGUAAGUGGGAUUGAACACCCAAACCUUUUCAACAUUUAUUGAAAAACUUGUCCUGGCUGUCUUUCCUGUCCUGAGGAGAUGUAAGCAAUUGACAUGAGGCAGCUCAACCCUUCAGUUUGAAAAGGAUUGGUUUUACUCCAGUGGCAGCCCUGCCAGAACAAGAGGGACCUCGCCGCGCAUUGAUCAAGAUACAGGAAGACAGCUUUCUUUCCUCACCCUGGCCUGCCUAAGGAGAAGUCACUUGCAAUCCUCUUCUUCCCGGACAUGAAGCAACAACCCCUCCACUGCACUGAACCUGUUUCAAUCCCUAGCCAAGUACAUGGUUCCUGUGAGUAGAUUUCUUAUUCUGGAAACAGAGGAUUGAGCAGGGAAGGCUGCAUUAAAGGGAGUGAAUCACUUGAACACAAAGUGCCAUUUUCAAUAAAUUCAGGUUUAUUCUUGGAGAUAAUCUGGUAGAAGAGGUGAUAACCUCUCUCCUCUGCUUCCUGGGAAAUGACACGUCUUCUCUAGAUCUGAAACAUGGGGAGAAAUCAUCCAGGUGCAGGUGGCAGCCAGAGAUUGAAAAAUUGCAGCCCCAUGUCAGUGGGACUGUACGUUUUGAUACCAGUGAAACCAGCAGUUCAGCAGUGUCCUUUGGAAGUCCUGUAAGUGCAGCAUAGCUCAUAAUAUCCUUCACUGAUGCUCUCCGAGAAUGCUUUUAAGCUUCACAACAGUUCCCUUUGGGAUAAGUUUUAGUACAGCUAUUUUGGCAGCUCGUGACGUGGAGGCGAAAAGAUGCCAUCGCUUUUCCAGUUGUGUCAGUGCUGGGUUCAGGAACAGGUCUCCAGACUGACUCAUCCCACUGCUAAGCAUCCUCUGAAUUGCCAGUGCAAGGUUUGGAGACUGAUCUGUGAAAUGCCUCCCUGUACUGCCCUUUCUUUCUGAGAAGAGCUCUGGAAAAGAUGUUUUGUGUGCUGUAAACUCUCUGCCAAUACCUCCUGUCAGGCCCUAACAUGGUUAGUUUGACUUCUGGUAUUGACAAAAAGCACACUUCCCCAGACCUCGGGGUAGCGAUUCAUUCGGCUGUACCAAAUAACCAGACCUCGCUGGCUGUCCUAGCUGGGCAUUUUCAUCUUUGCCUCUCGGCUGAAGUCGUCUGUCCACAUAGGUCUGUAGGUGAAAGGGAUCGUGUGAGUUCUUCAGACAAAUUUGGGCUGGAUCGAACCACCUUCACUGUUAAUUGUAGCUAGUCCAGGUGACUUCAAGAAGCACUGAUGCAAUCCCUGCCAGCAGAGCUCCAGCGAGGGUGCAGAAGGGCCCUGACAGUGCUGCUGCUUGCACAGUGAGGGUCUGUCCAUGCCCUCGCUCUCCUGGCCAGGCUGGAAGGAGGGGCAAGCUGCCAGAAAACAACCUGAAACCUGCCUUGGCCCGCGGUCCAGAGAGGCAAACCCAACAUAUGGUCUCUUGGUGUGAUGCAAAUCUGGGAUGAGUUGAAAGUAGGAGGGAUGCAGACAAUCCCACAUUAAAGAAUAACCGGUCCAUAUGUUUCCUCUCUCCUUUUUCUGCAUGCUAAAGGGCUUUAGUCAGGAAGCAUAAUGGGGUCUUUUUACCUUGCGAGCUGGGAUUUGAGGUUCUCAAUUUAGUCUUAGGUGCACGUGUGCAAACAAAGAACAAUACACCUUCCCUGGACUGUUAUUUUUAGGAUCUUGAUUGCAAGACAAUUAUAAUGUUGUGCUGAUGAAUGUGAGUAACGGUUGCAAUGUAAUUGUAGAAGGAAAAGUGCACAGCUUUGGGGGGAAGCAUUGUGCCUUUUACGUGUUCACACAGAGCCUCGGAGUCAACUAAAGAAAGAAGAAAUAA